GAGGCCUCUCACCUCCAUUCUUCAAAAUUCCUUUUUCAAACCUAAAAUCAACCAACAAAAACAAAAAAACAAUUUCUUGAGAAUGAACUACGUUUGGUUUUGAUCCCUUAAAAGGGUACGUAGGCAAUGAGUCAAAACUCCUCCAAGCCAAAUAAAAAUAAAAUCUCAAUCAUCUUCUCUCCCCCAUUCUUCACUCAAAUAAAACUUCUUUUUCAAUAAGUAGGCAAUAAAAGUAAAGCGUAGA
rnacentral:lncRNA from 1 species